rnacentral:rRNA from 1 species
GAUAACCGUGGUAUUUCUAGAGCUAAUACAUGCUGGUUAGCCCGACUUUUCGGAAGGGCUGUAUUUAUUAGAUAACAGACCAAUAUUCCCUGGUGUCUAUUGUGGUGACUCAUAGUAACUGAUCGGAUCGCAUGGCCUUGUGCCGCGAUAAACCAUUCAAGUUUCUGACCCAUCAGCUUUCGAUGGUAGUGUAUUGGACUACCAUGGCUUUCACGGGUAACGGAGGAUUAGGGUUCGAUUCCGGAGAGGGAGCCUGAGAAACGGCUACCACAUCUAAGGAAGGCAGCAGGCGCGUAAAUUACCCAAUCCUGAUUCAGGGAGGUAGUGACAAGAAAUAACGGGUCGGGGCAUCUGCCUCGGGAUUGCAAUGAAUCGAAUUUACACCCCUUAAUGAGGAUCAAUUGGAGGGCAAGUCUGGUGCCAGCAGCCGCGGUAAUUCCAGCUCCAAUAGCGUAUAUUAAAGUUGUUGCAGUUAAAAAGCUCGUAGUUUGAUUUCUGGACGGGCGCCAACACCCGCUUGUUAGUGUGGAGGCGGCACCCGCCCAUCCUUCUGUUAACGCCGCCGGCAUUUGUUUGCUGGUGGCGGGCUCAGAUAUUUUACCUUGAGAAAAUUAGAGUGUUUCAGGCAGGCUUGCGCCUAGAUACAUUAGCAUGGAAUAAUAGAAUAGGACUUUGACCUCUUCUGUUGGUCUGAGGGGUGAGAGUAAUGAUUAAUAGGGAUAGUUGGGGGCAUUAGUACUUAACUGCUAGAGGUGAAAUUCUCAGAUUUGUUAAAGACUAACUUAUGCGAAAGCAUUUGCCAAGGAUGUUUUCAUUAAUCAAGAACGAAAGUUAGGGGAUCAAAGACGAUCAGAUACCGUCCUAGUCUUAACCAUAAACUAUGCC